rnacentral:hammerhead_ribozyme from 1 species
AUCUAGUUGACGAGUCCCAAAUAGGACGAACUGGUGCACGUCCUAGAU